AACGAUUAUGCAAAAAAAAACACUAAAUUUAUUCCUCUUUGUCUAAACGAACUGCAGGGCUAGCCUCAAUUAGGUCCAAGUUAACCUUAGGACCAAUCAAUUGUCUAAUGUCGGCCACACCAUAUUUGAUCAUAGUGGGGCGCUCUAAAGAAAGACCAAAACCUAAACAACGAACAUCUUUAGGUAAUCCCAUAGGCUCUAACAUCUCCGGACGGAACAUGCCGCUGUUUCCGACUUCAACCCACUUACCAAGCUUUUCGUGGUAGGAAAAGACUUCCAAUGAAGGUUCAGUAUAAGGAUUAUAAGCAGGUUUGAAGCGCAAAUUUUUAACGUUCAUUUUUCCAAAGAACACCUCAAGGAAACCGAUCAAAUCACCGAGGGUAAUAUUUCUAUCGCAGAUUACGCCUUCGACUUGAUGAAAUUCGGCAAGAUGAGUUGCGUCAACGGUUUCAUUGCGGAAGACCCGAUCAAUUGAGAAGUAUUUAGCAGGGUGAAAGCCAUUUUGGGCAAGUUUGUACAACAUAUUCGCCGAGACAGCAGUAGUAUGAGUACGAAGAACUAGUUUACGAGUUUCCUCCAAGGAAAAGGGAGCACGGUAUCCAAUGCCCUUAGUCUCACCACCGUUUUCGUGAGUGGCCUUUACUCGAGCAACAUAUUCGGGAUCUGGCAAUUUAUCAGUAGAAGCAGGAACUUUCAAAAAGAAAGUAUCUUGAGCAUCCCUUGCUGAAUGUUGUUGGGGGACAAAUAAAGCAUCAAAGUUCCAAAAUCCACUUUCAACAAAAUUGUUGGUUGGCAUUUCUUCAAAACCCAAUUCGAAGAAAAAUUUACGGAAUUCUUCACGUACUUUCAUCAAAGGAUGAAGACAUCCACCAGCUGGAGGUAUACCUUCAGCUGCAAAGUUGUAAGAUUUAAACUUGGCACUUUCCCAUGAUCGAGAGGUGAUCAUCUCAGCAGUUAAAUCGGUGUUCAGUUUUUCAAUUUGAAGCGAGAAAUUUGGACCUUUCCUCAAAGAGAAGUACAUAAUUUUGUUACGUUCAACAAGCUUUCUCUUCUUCAAAUCAGUUAACGUCUUACUGUCAGAGAUAGUUCCAUGUUCCUUAAUUUCACUAAGGACCUUAGGGGUCUCAUCUGUAAUGGAAUCAGUCUGGUCAGUUAGUAAAUAAAAUAUUGCAUAACGUUAAAUCAAUUUGCACUACUAUAACUUUGCCUUACAUUUUUAACAAGCUUGUCUCCAUCUUUCUUAAUCCAACCGAGUUUAAAGGCUCUUCCUUGACCAAUACCAGCCGAAUUCCCCAAUUUUUUCUAAAUCAGUUAGAAAAAGUACAAAAAAACUAAAAGGCAGACGUAGCGAUAUGAAAAGGUGUUGCAUCAAAACGCGAAAAAUCGAAAAUGCAACAUAAUGCUAGAAAAAAAAAACUAACAAUAUUUACCGGGCGUUUAGACUUAAUUAUAUUUAAAUGCUUCGUCGUUCACAACUACGAUUCCAAUGACUUUACCUUGAGUUCCCCAAUAUUUAAACCGCUCAUAGAAGCGCAAAUUUCAUUAUAAACUUUGGCUUCAUGAGAACCAUUUGCGCAAAUGUUUUCACCCUCUGCAGUCAAAUUGUAAAUUUCAAUUUCAUGUCUUGAAAAUUCAAUCAUGUUUUUAGCAGCUAAUGACAAAAUCGCCGAUUGAGCUUCUUGAGGACCUAACUUCUUCCCAUCGAAUUCCAAAUGACUGGUGUUUGGAAUUUCAUUUUUUUCGUUUAGCUUUUCAAGCAGGAAAACUUGAAGGGCUUCAAGCUUUGACAUCUUACAGCUUUGUUGGUGUGUUGGCAGUAGGUAAAGUAACUGGCGAUACGCGAGUGCUACGGUGAAACGGUGAGCAUCGGAUUCAAAGCACUACACAUUAAGCCGUCGUUGACAAGUUUAUGUUUUAUGUACUACUAAAAUUUAUAUAUGGUAAGAGCAUACAAAUUAUGUCAGAUAGAAAAUGUUCGGGACAUCCUAAUUCAGAUUAUCCAUCUCUGUUUGAAAUCGCUGAUAUAGCUACGAUACUCUAACAACAUCACGAAAACAGUAAAAAACGUACUUAUGAGAAUUCUUUUAAUGUCAAUUAAAAAAAUUGAUCGAUUUAGUAUAAUUAAACUUGGUAAAGAAUAGAAAAUUAACAAAAAUGAAUAACAAAGAGUGAUUAUAGGCAUGUAUAGCCAGUUAGUGGUAAACAUUGAUUUACCCGACAAAGUUCAUCAUUUGAAGCCAAAAUAAAAUUGAGGGAUUAGCUUAUACAGCUGAAAAAGAGGUUUGGUGGGAGCAACCAUUGAUAUCGGAAUUCAACAAUAUUAUAGAAUAUAAACAAGGUGGAGAAAACCAAUGUAGCUUCGCAAAUUAGUUAUAUCAACAUUUGUUGCUUUAACGGGUGGAGAAUUGUGUCCGCUGGACGCUAAAUUCCGCAUCUUCGAUAGCCCGUAAAAUAUCUUUAAAGCAUUUGGCCGCAGAAAAGGCGAGAUCAGUCAGAGGGGGUACGGAGUUGUUGUCUGUAAAUCCAAAGUUUUCACCAUGUCCUUCUUGCUCAAUUAACUGCAUGCAAUAUCUUCGCAUUUCCUGAAGAGCGUUAUGAAUUACCGCGUACGCGGCACGAUCCCGCAUAAGUUCUAACGGUGAAGAUACAUCAAAAAGUGUGUCACGUAUAACGUUGAUGUCUUCAUGAACUCUUUGCUGGAUGGUAGACGAAGAACUAUCACUGCUAAUAGCAUCCAAAAGCUUUUGAUUGGUCUCACUAAAUUGUUUAGAUUUUUCGGAAAGCAAGGUUUUUGCAACAGAUAAUGCCUUCAAAUCGUCAACCGGAUGAAGUGAAUUUCUUCCGACCGAAAGAGAAGAUUUUCCCGUGUUGGUAAGUCCAUAGGUUUUUGCAAUGUCCAUAAGACUGAUACUUAUAGAGCAAGCAGAAGCAUCGACGUGAUAAAUGGGAAGUAAGGCACCAUUUAUUACAGCGAGUCUUACUUGCUCCAUUAAACUAUUUGUGAACGAACAUAAAUCAUCAACCUUUUUUCCUAAAUCGGGAAGCUCUUCUAAAAGCGACUUCUCCCGCAAACUGGAAACAAUGGCUUCCAAAGUCAAAGCAAUAUCCUUAGCAGUAGACAUCCACUGAGAAGGGCUAUCCCUUCUUAAAGAUGCCACAAAGACAUUCAUUUCAACGAAAUAACGAAUAUAAAGCUGUUCAUCUAAAAAUCCAUUGGGUGAAAUCAGUUCCCGAAUAGACUUCAUUGGAACAGUAGUCAUGGUAAACAAUCUUAUAUCUUCGUCAAUUUUUGCGGACUUCGCGUUGAUAGCAACCUUUUUCCAGCGUUCCGUUUCGGCCUUCAAGGAGUCAAUACAGCUUUCCAAUUCGACAAUGUGCUGGGUUUUUGAAGAUUCGGCAACAAUCAAUUCUUGCAUUAGCUUUAGGUUUUUUUCCAACUCAGGAUUAAAACUAAGCGUUGGGUUGUUUUCGAGCUCUUUUAUUCGAUUUUCAGCAUCGUUUAGCUUUUUUAUUGAAAUUUCAGCCUCAUGGGAUGCCUCAUGAAGCUUUUCCUCCAAUUGAAAGAUUUCAUUCUUAUGUUUCGUAGCAUCAGAAAUGCUUUUGGCUUUUAAAGCCUCCAUUUCAGAUUUUGAGCUGUCAAGCAAAGAGUUCGAUUUUGCCAAACUACUUUCCAACAUCUCAAUUCUACUCAAGUAAUUUGACGAAGAAUCAAUUCCCGUCUGAGCACCCUGGCUCAAUGACGAGGUAGAGGAAUUAUUUGCUUGAACAGUAUUUAAAGCAUUGGUAUCUGGAACAUUCGGUAGACGAUGAGACAAGGAAGUAGGAGAAUCAGUAUGCGUUCUAUUAGCAUAACUUGGUAUAGUGGGAGAGCUUGUGGUUCUUUGUUCAGUUGGAUGAAGGGAAGCGGAAGAGGCGUUGGCACUGCUAUACAGAUCGUGCUUGGGAGCGGAAGCAGGUAAACGUUGCACCUGAGGAGGAGGCUGAGAAGCAGCUCUAGUCAUGUUUGGUGGUGUAUUUGAAGAAACUUCUUUUAAAGCACCACUAUAUCUUGAUUGAACUUCAAAAAACACAUCCAUACAAAGAUCCCGAAGCCUUGUAGGAGCAAGACUAGAAAGUUUUUGUCGAGCAUGAUUCCGCUUGGGAUGAUAAGAAUCAACAGGAGGUAAGAAUCUGACUAUAAGGGGUUAGAAUUGUAGACUCAUAAGAGUGUAAAUCAAAAUACCUUUGGGAUCAUUGUUGAUCCUACGCUGUAGUUCAUCAGCAACGUCUGUUAAAAGUUCACUGAACUGAAUAUGAGACAAACGCUGAAGCUUUUCACGUGGCCUCGCAUUGGCGUUCCUUAGGGCUGGGUCUAUAAAAUAGCGUUAGAGGUGAUUACAUUGUUUCCGUGGGUCAAAGCAAUUGUACAGCUUAAUUUUAAACCAAUUUUUAACAUACCUUUAACAAAUUCAGGCUCUAAGUAACGAGCUAAAAACCGAUAUUGACGAAUAAUAAUACUUUGCAUAGUUUGAAAGCAAAUUUAAGACUAGGGAUUUGAGGAAAGAAGUUGGAAAAAAUGAGCUUUCUAUCUUUUUCAGGGAAUUAAAUGAUAUGUCCUUUCUUUUACGCUGACUUGAAAAAGAUAGACUGUGUAAAUUAACUUAAGGCAGUUGUACUAAUACAAUGGGCAAGGACGUGCUGGACCCUAAAUUAAUUUGAUAUAAUUUUUCUGUGAAUUAAAUUUUUAAAGAAAAAGUCUUUAAAAUGCCUAAUGUACUGCCAAACACAUUAACAGGCAAACGAGUGCGAAGAGAAAUCUUCUAUCUAAAAAUAUUACUGACAGCUUUGCGUCCUUGCCAAUUUACUGUGUUUAUUACUUAGAACGUUGUAGAUAUACUAGGAGAAAGGACAUGCUUUAUUAAAUUCGAUAACGACGUGUAACGAUAAAUGAUAUUAAAAAAAAUGAAUAGUAUACAAUACAGGAAGUUUAGGAUGGUUAGAUUGAAAGUCGGCCAUUAUAGAAGGGAACAGCUCUUCCAAUUUAUCCUGUGCCUCGGUUAAUUUGUUGACUAAAUCGAGAAUGGCCUUUCCACCUACGCUGGCCUCCUCAUGGUUAUCUUUAAUGUCAACGUUUAUUAAGUACACAGGUCGAUUCAAUGUUUCACCUCGACGAUACAGAUCCUCACAAAUGGCAUCAUAACAUCUUUCUUCGCAGGUUAUUACAAUGUUGUAUAUGGAAUCUUGGUCCUGCCACCGACAAGGAGCGCGCUUUAUACGGCGAUUUCGGUCAAGCAUUUUAAGCAAUCCAUUGGCCGUGUAUAGCCGGGAAUCCUGGGCCUCGAGCUCUUUAUAAAUUUCAUCAUAUGGAUACCCAAAUUGAUAAAUGUUAGGUUUGUCAAUACUGGGACCCGGCAACCGUACAGCUGAACCUGUUCCGAACGAAUCAACUUGGUAUCCAGCAUUCCUUCAAUGGAGAUUAGCAAACUACCUCAUAAAAUUCAAAAAUGACAUACUUUAAGACGUUGUGAGCUUCCAUACUUCGAUUUUGGUUCGAAGCACAAAUUACACUGAUCUGGAGGUUGGUUUUGGGAGCCAUUAUUUGGUAUUAUUGUUUACUGACUAACGUUGGUAAGGCUUUAAAAGGUUUUACUUUCCUUUCUUUAUUAUUGCAAGAUUUUUAUCUUACUAAAUUAGACAUACAGCCAAAGGUCCAAACUCGUUCUUUGCAGUGUAUACAAUAUGACACGCUGUAAGCAACAGCCUUUCAAAAUUACCACGCUGCUUUACGAUGCGAUA